rnacentral:rRNA from 1 species
UUACGGGAGGCAGCAGUGGGGAAUUUUGCGCAAUGGGCGAAAGCCUGACGCAGCAACGCCGCGUGGAGGAUGAAGGUCUUCGGAUCGUAAACUCCUGUCAGUGGGGACGAAUGCCCGCAAGGGUUUGACUGUACCCGCUGAGGAAGCCACGGCUAACUCCGUGCCAGCAGCCGCGGUAAUACGGAGGUGGCAAGCGUUGUUCGGAAUUACUGGGCGUAAAGGGCGCGUAGGCGGCAUGGCAAGUCAGAUGUGAAAGCCCCGGGCUCAACUCGGGAAUUGCAUCUGAAACUGCUUUGCUUGAGUCCUGGAGGGGGUAGUGGAAUUCCCAGUGUAGCGGUGAAAUGCGUAGAUAUUGGGAGGAACACCGGCGGCGAAGGCGGCUACCUGGACAGUGACUGACGCUGAGGCGCGAAAGCCAGGGGAGCAAACGGGAUUAGAUACCCGUGUAGUCG